UCGGCUCCGGUUCACGUCCUCGAUCGUGUCGAGGGCGACCCGGCGGCC
rnacentral:ncRNA from 1 species